GACGAAUCUUCAAGCAGAAGAUACAGUGGCGUUGAAGGGAGAUUCAAAACUGUUACAAAUGAGGAAAUAGAGAAAUUUUUCGACUCCAGGCAAGCAAAAUCAACAAAAAGAAAUACAGCAUGGGGAUUUUUCAAGAUUGGAACAUGGAGAUCUAUGGUUCUGUACUAAUGGUGCAACAUUAGACCUGCAAACAGCAAAUGUGUCAACUCUUGCCAGUCAUCUCUCGUGAUUUUAUUGUGAAGCAAGCCCCAAAGAAAAAGUUGAUGAUGAUGUUUAGCCUUUGUACCACAAAAAUACUUUGAUCAAUAUCAAAGGAGCAAUAAAUCGCCAUCUUGCUGACAUUCAGAGAGAUGUAAAUAUAGUCCAUGACAAGGAGUUCAGAACAGCCAAUGGAAUCUUGGAUGGUUUCUUUAAAGAGCGAACCUGACUUGAUCUGUCAAAACCAACAUCACACAAAGAUAUUAUCGAGAUACAUGAUCUGCAGAAGAUUUAUAAAUACCUCCAAGGUGCCACAUCAUCACCAGUGGUUUUGCGCCAUGCUGUAUGGUACUUUCUGUCCAUCAAUUUUAUUACCAUAGGUUUAGAGUUCCACCAUAAGUUUAAUCAUAACAGCAUUGUCUUCUGCACAGAUGAAACUUGCCAAUAUGCUGCAUUACAACACAAAACAUUACAAAAUAAUCAUCAAGGUGGUGUAGAUGCCGAUGACAGCCAUACAGACAAGAUAAUGUACGCAACUGAUAAUGAAAACUGCUGUCAUGUUUAUCUCUUAAAGUUACUGAUGUCAAAAACAGAUUCAAAUGCUACAAAUCUUUUCAACCAAUACAUAUAAGAGAGAGUUCAUUCUGAUAUUUGGUAUUCAGCAAAACCCCUGCCAAAGCGCACUUUCAACAAGUCUCUUGGGGAGAUUUGCUUUGCUGCUGGUGUGGAGCAUAAAUACACAUCCCACUGUUUACGGGCCACUGCAAACACUUACCUUAAUGAUCAGGGAUUUGAAGCACGACACAUCAUGCUCAUGUCGAACCAAAGGAAUGAGAGUUCAAUGAGGUCAUAUAACAGAUCGCUCUCCUCUAAGCAAAAAAAAAAAGCAUUCUGCGAUGGCGUCUGCAUCUUCAUCCCCUUUUACGAUCGUAGCUCUUCCACCGCUGUCGACCAGGUUCUCGAACUUGCCACCACGAACCCAUGAAAAUCAGGCUCAACUUGAAAACUUACCGUCACCAUCUGCACAUGAGACCACAACUCUCAUAUCGUCAAAUUCCACAGCCACAACAUCGUCCUCCAUGCCAGCAACAUUGAAAACAGUUAACAUGAACAUGCAAAACAUUAAUCCAACAGCUGGGUUUUUCAAUAAUGCAAACUUCAGGGAGAGCACAUUUCGUUUUACUCAGUUGUGCUUACUGUAU